UACGGAGGGGGGCUAGCGUUGUUCGGAAUUACUGGGCGUAAAGCGCACGUAGGCGGCUUUGUAAGUUAGAGGUGAAAGCCCGGGGCUCAACUCCGGAAUUGCCUUUAAGACUGCAUCGCUAGAACGUCGGAGAGGUAAGUGGAAUUCCGAGUGUAGAGGUGAAAAUUCGUUAGAUAUUCGGAAGAACACCAGUGGCGAAGGGCGAC
rnacentral:rRNA from 1 species